AUAAUAUCCAAUUAUUUAAUAUCUUCAAUGUUUAAGUCUGCUACAUCAACCUGCUUUUAGCUUAUAUAAAGCCCCCUUCCUCCCUUUGAAGAUUCAUGAAAUGUUUGGUUGAGGUGGCACACAAACCCAUGGCACACUCUAGACCACCUUUGCCUAUAGCUGUCUUACCCCUCUUACCUCCCCCCUCUCUCUCUCUCUCAGCUAGGGUUACCAUGAGAUGAGGGAAAUCUUUCGAAGUUUAUUCAUGUGAAAGUUGCUUUAUACAGAUCUGUGCAAGCAUAUAUGAUCGAGUUCCUUGAAUUUUAUGGAUCAUCAUCUUCUUUAGAGUUUGUUGGUGAUGAGUAUUAGUGGUAUUGAAUGAAGGGAGCUUUCUUCAGUCCACUCAUGGGUGGCAGUGAGAUUUCAAUUAGCUGCCGACUCAUUCAUCCAAAUACUGGGUUAUUAGAUCGAUCAGGACAGACCCAGUAAAUGUGUGAAUGAUGCGGGAGACAAAUUGGAUCUUAAGCCUCCUGUACUUGGACUGAAGGGAGCUCCCUUAUCUAAUUCCCUCGUAUUCAUUUACCAUGUAUAUUUUAUACUGAAGCUGGUCAUCAUCGAUUAGGCGAUAACCUUGAACUUAUCCAGAUAUUGAAUUAGCUAGGGUUUGUGAAGUUGCUGAAACACAUAUACAUGAGGAGGAGGAAGGAGAUGAAGAAGAAGCUUCGCUCACACGCUUUACAACAUUAGCUUCUUGGUUCCUGCUCUCCAGCCGCAACAAGUUCCUAGACAUGUCUCCCAGAGGCUCUGGUCAAUUACCAAAAUGUCCUCCUAAUAUAAGUCAACCAAAUUGAGCUAGAAAAUCGUUUGUAUUAUUGUACUAAGAAUUAAUGUUGAUUUAAUUGGUGUUUGUUGUUGUUAUUGUUCGUAGUUCUUGAACUUUCAAUGCCAAGUGUGGAGAAAAUGGAAAUGAAAAAGGAGGUUAUUGCAUACUUAAAUUAA